rnacentral:lncRNA from 10 species
UUUCAAAAGAAAAACAUGUAAAGGCUGAGACAUGGAGAGACCCACAUGGCAAGAAAAUGAUAUCUCCAACCAACAGCAGCGAGGACUGGAGGCCUGCCAACAGCCCUGUGAGUCAGCUUGGAAGUGAGUCUUCUGGAGGAAGAGCCUGGAGAUGUCUGCAGCCCAACCUGAUACCUUGAUUGCAGCCUUGGGAGGGGUUCAGAGACACCUGGCUAAGACACAACUGAAUUCCUGACCCACAUAAACUAUGAGAUAAUACAUGUUUGUUUUAAGCCAUUAUUUUGGUGGGGGUGGGGAGCGGUAAUUUGUUGCACAGCAAUUUGUGCAGACAACCAAUUUAAGCACCACGUGAUAUACAGUGAUUAAUUAUAGGUCAUUGAAACAUGUCUGCCUGGCACUACUUUUAUAGAAGACCGAAUAUGAAGAUUCUGUUUAAAACCCUGCUUGACUUUCUUUACUUCUAGAAAAUACCAAAGACAUGUUUCCAUUGUACAGUUUGUAAACUAGAAUGCUGGGUUUUUUAAAUUUAUAUGGGGUAUGAGAAAUCAUUUUCAUUGAUAAAACAUGAUAUUUGCUUUCAAUUUUUUCAAUGUAAGUCCCUCAGUACCUAAGAUUCUCC